rnacentral:rRNA from 1 species
AGAGUUUGAUUAUGGCUCAGGGUGAACGCUGGCGGCGUGCCUAACACAUGCAAGUCGAGCGGGUACCCGCAAGGGUACCAGCGGCGCACGGGUGAGUAACACGUGGGUAAUCUACCCCUCGGAGGGGGAUAACCGGGGGAAACUCCGGCUAAUACCCCAUACGAUCCAACAACACAAGUUGUUGGAUGAAAGGAGCGUUUGCUCCGCCGAGGGAUGAGCCCGCGGCCCAUCAGGUAGUUGGUGGGGUAAUGGCCCACCAAGCCUACGACGGGUAGCCGGCCUGAGAGGGUGGUCGGCCACAAGGGCACUGAGACACGGGCCCUACUCCUACGGGAGGCAGCAGUGGGGAAUCUUGGACAAUGGGCGAAAGCCUGAUCCAGCGACGCCGCGUGGGGGAUGAAGCCCUUCGGGGUGUAAACCCCUGUUGCGAGGGAGGAAUAAGGCCUGGAGGAAAUGCCAGGCCGAUGACUGUACCUCGCGAGGAAGCCCCGGCUAACUACGUGCCAGCAGCCGCGGUAAUACGUAGGGGGCGAGCGUUACCCGGAUUCACUGGGCGUAAAGCGGGUGUAGGCGGCUCGGUAAGUCGGGUGUGAAAUCCCACAGCUCAACUGUGGAAUUGCGCCCGAAACUGCUGAGCUUGGGGCCGGUAGAGGGAGACGGAACUGCCGGUGUAGGGGUGAAAUCCGUAGAUAUCGGCAGGAACGCCGGUGGGGAAGCCGGUCUCCUGGGCCGCGCCCGACGCUGAGACCCGAAAGCUAGGGGAGCAAACCGGAUUAGAUACCCUGGUAGUC